AUAAGAUUGUCAUCACCUUUAUCCUGGAAUAACCUGAGGUUAAGCAUCUUAAUCAGGGAGUCUCAGGGGUUUUGAGAAGAGAUUGCCUCAUCACGAGUAUGUUCUACCUCCUCUUCCCACAGCCAUGCCUGUGAAAACACAGAAGAGAACAGGUUCCUUCACUCAGUGGCUCCAAAAGUGGACAAACAGACCUUUCCUGUGGCUGUGGGCCAUGUCUUGGAGUCGUUCAGGCAUCAUGAGGCACAGCGGGUGAUUCCUUCGGGAAAUGCAAAUCUGGUUACAGUUU
ensembl:lncRNA